GUUUUUCUCCCAGGAGACAUUUAAAGACAUUUUUGAGUGUGACAACUGUGGUCAGGGGUAGAGGUGAGGGGGUGUAGCAUCAAUGGAGUAAAAGCGAGGGAUGCUACUAAACAUCUGUAAUAAAAAAUAUAGCCCCACAACAAAGAAUGAUUCAGCCUCAAAUAUCAAUAGCGCCGAGGCUGAGAAGCCCCAAUGCAAGCAACCAGGCAGCCAGGAAGAAAACGUGAGCAUAGAUUUCAGAAAGCUAAAGAAAAUUUGUUAUUUUCAGUUUCUUGGACUCUGAAGAUGAAAAGCCAGAAUGUCUGUGAUAUUCAGGAUCGUUUUUCAGGGGCAUCCUGCAUCAAAGCAUGAAGUUCUGGGAUCCAACUGAACUAGACCCACUGGGCAAGAGGAACUGUUGAGAUGGGACUGUCUAAUUGCAGGAAAACAAGCACAGGCCUCCCCCUGAUUCUACGUUAUGGAAAGAGAUCUUCAUGUAAACAGAGUCCCUCUUAUUGGCUGAAGCGAAGAGUCAUUCUGAGUUACAGCCUGCACAAUGAUUUUUAUGGUACUACACUACUCUGCCAAGUGAGGACAGCAAUAUAAUUUUCUCAUUGAAGAACACGUGGAAAAUAGAGCAAGAGAAAAAAUUUAUAUAUAACCCCAUCCCGCAAAGGCACUUGUGAGUAUUAAAAUAUAUUUCUUUCUAAUUGUCAUGUUGAUUGGCAUAAUUUUAUACCUAUUGAUUUUACAUACUUCUAAUCAUGCUGCUUAAAGAAUUUUAUUUCCCUAUUAAAGAUAGCCUUUAAUUUUUAGAGCAGUUUUAGGUUCACAGCAAAAUUGAGUGGUAGGUACAGAGAGCUCCCAUUAUACCUCAUACCCCCACAUGACACAGGCUCCCCUACCUACAACAUCAUGCACCA
rnacentral:lncRNA from 1 species